AUGACAGGAGCAACAUCCAUGCAGGGUGCUGCUGAAGGACAGGGGUUUGAUGGGCCCAGGCAGGUGCCACACUUGCAGAGAGGGGAGGCUGUGCUUUCACUGCACAUAGCAGAUCUCAGCAGCUGCCCAAUCAAAAACAAAGCACUGUGUGCACAAAGGCACGUGUGCACAACAAGCUGCCUCAUUGAUGUCUCAGAUGUAGUGGACAAACAGCACCCAUACGUGCCAUCUUGUGGAUUUCAAGCCUAUCUACCCUGUUCAAAGCCUGAAUGCCUUAAUGGAUCCUCCCCAUCCCUGGAGGCACUCAAGGCCAGGAAACAAAAUGCAUACUUCUCACCUGGACAGUCACUAGAAGAUCUACCACCACUACACUUGACCUGCAGCAUCAUGUAUCACACUUAGCACCUCGAAGGUAUGAUCAUGCCUCUUCCUCAAGACAAAGAUGACUACUGGGCAGAGGGAAAACAUAGUAAUAUGGCACAGCCCAAAGGCUAUAGAGAAACACAGCUGCAGCAUGUGUGAGCCAGAGCUGCUGUGCUAAGAUCCAUCACAAACCACUGCCAUAGGAUGCAAUGGUAAUAUUAAGUAAAAAAAAAGUCAGACCUUUAGAGCUUUCAUGAGAACAUAAGCCAAAACACCACAGAACCAUAGAAAAACUUGGUUUGGAAGGGACCUUAAAGCCUACUUUUCUGUGGGCAGGGCUGUCCCCACCAGCUCAGGCUGCUCAGGGCCCCAUCCAACCUGGCUUCGAGCGCCUCCAGGGAUGGGGCAUCACAGCUUCUCUGGGCAGCUUCUCUGCCAGCACCUCACCACCCUUUGAGGAAAGAACUUCCCCCUGACAUCUAACCUGAAUCUCCUCUCUUUUAGUUUAAAGCCAUUCCCCCUUGUCCUAUCACUAUCAGACCAUGUAAAAAGUCAGUCUCCCUCCUGUUUAUAAGCUCCCUUCACUGGAAGGCUGCAAUGAGGUCUCCCCAGCCUUCUCUUCUCCAGGCUAAACAAGCCCAACUCCCUCAGACUUUCCUCACAGAAGAGGUACUCCAGGCCUUUGAGCAUCCUUACGCUCUCCCUGAACCCUCUCCAACAGCUCUGCAUCCUGCUUGUGUAGGAAGAUCUGUGCAAUCACUCAGUUCAUACUAGUGUCGAUCACACAGUAAUUCCCAAACUAACACCAGCUCCAGGCACAAGGAAGCAUAGAUAUGUAAGGCCUACCUCCCUGCCGAAGCUGCAAUGGAAAUACUAACAAUUGCUCCGGCGGCUCCUCGCAAGUUCCAAAUGCUGUCAAGCAAAGCACAGAGCAGACAGAAGCAUCAGCGGUGGCACCUGGAUAAAACCCUGACCGACCCAACACCCUAGUACACAAACAGCACAUCGCAGGCUCCACCUUGGAUGGCGACCAUCAUCACCCCAGCCCCGGCUGCCAAAGCGCUGGGCAGCCCCUGGGGCCACCCCGCAGCUCCCCUCGCUCCCCAGGGCCCGCAAGGGGCAGGGCAGGCCGCGGGGCGGCGGCGGAGCGGGCCGUGCUGAGGGGAGUGCCGCAUUACGCCGUAGGACCCCGGCCGGCCCGCUGCGUAUCUCGGUCCCGCCGGCCCGACCGCCUCGGAGCCAAGCGGGAGAGGGCGGUGGGAAAAGGCCCUACAGCGCGUCUCCCUACCUCAGUGGGCAGCCAUUGUUGUGGGCGGGAAGGCAAGGCGAACUACAACUCCCAGCAGCGCCCGGCCCGGCAGCCCCUUCUCUUGCCCCGUGUCGGGGCUGGGUGUGCUGGUAGCGGGCUUGCGGGGAAACGCCAGAGCUGGGUUGCUGGCUGGUUAAAUAGUGCUGAGUGCUUCAGAUGUGUACAUUGUUAGCGAGCUCUUCAGUUUCUGAAGUUCCCCGUGGAAAGCUUUGCCUUCACUUCCUCAGCUGAUCCCUACAACGGCUUCAAAGGCGGCACCGCCCCAUGUGACGGGAAACCUCCAGCUACGGGAGGGUUAGGUUGGCUAUCAGGAAAAGCUUCUUUACAGAAAGCGUUGUAAAGCACUGGAAUAGGCUCCCCAGGGAGAUAGUUGAAUCACCAUCCCUGGAUGUGUUUAAAAACCAUUUGAAUGUGGUGCUCAGGGACAUGAUUUAGCAGAGGGCUGUUAGAGUUAGGGUAGUAUGGUUAGGUUGUGGUUGGACUCCUUUUCCAACCUGAGUGAUUCUAUGAUUUUAUUCUAUGAUUCUAAGACAGUGUGUUAGGUGGACUGUCUUUUUUCACCUGAAUGAGGGCAACUUUUGGGCUUGCCUGGGCUGCACUGAGUAUGGAGUUGUCUUGAGUCACAUAUACAUUAUCUAGGCUGCUCCAAAAGUAGUGCCUCCUAUUUAUUUCCAGGGAAACUACAAGAGAUACAAAGAGUACAAUAACACUGUUUGAUAAAUUGUCAGCUACAAAACACUGUUAUAGUCU
ensembl:lncRNA